CCGCGCUUAGCUCAGUUGGCUAGAGCGCCUGACUGUAGAUCAGGAAGUCCCCGGUUCAAGUCCGGGAGCGCGGACCA
rnacentral:tRNA from 1 species